rnacentral:lncRNA from 10 species
CGGGGCUCCAACCUCACCUUCCUGCUGUCGUGGAGAAGAAAAGUGGUAAUGACCGCUACUGUGCACUGGGCUCUCGCUCUGUGCUUUGCUUGUGUUUGCUCAGUUAAUCCUCCCAACAUGCCUCUAAGGGUUCUUCUCAGCCACCGUCAACAACCCCAGCUGCUACCAAGGAGGUGUGCUGAAUGUCCCAUUCCCCGGUGCUGCCAGCUCCUCAGAGCUCUGUAGGUUACCCCGUGAGACCUUCUCCCUGCACGCCUUUUUUUCUCUAAUAGAAAUACCUGCUACCUGUUGCCUUCUUCCCUGCAGGAUCACAAGCGCUUGCCCAGUGCCUGGCAUAGAGGCGGCCAUAGCUGGACUCCUACCCUGUUCCAGAUGAGGAAACUGCCGCUCAGAGACGGCAGCCGACCCAGCCAAGGCCGCACAGCCAGGAUUCAAAGCCAUACCGCUCAGCUCCUGCCUCCAGGCUCUGCCUUUGCAUGUGGCUUCUCCUGGCUCCUGGACCCUUCCCCGGCCCUCCCAGCUGGCUGUGCUGUGACAGUGGGCGGGGGAGUGCCAAGGCUCUGCCCUGCCCCCCGCCCUUGGCAUCUCCGGUCAAUAUGGCACUCACAGCUCCCUGGGCAUGGACCCCCUCCUGCCAUCCCCACUUAAAGUGAUACUUUAAUAAAUUAUGCUUUUAUGUUAUUACACGUGGAGCUAUAAAAGCAGAGAGUGUGCGGCCGGGCUGAGGUAAGGCGCCCGCGACUUUCCAAUUUCCUGGUCUGGCCUGGCUCUGCUCCGCACCGUGAAUUUUUCAUUAAUGUGCACAGGUGACGCCACGGGGCAGCCGCAGGCCAGUCAUAGUUACAGAGGCAAUGGACACAUUGAAGAGAGGAAAGAAAACAAACACGACCUAGAAUCUACGGGGAAGGAAGCCUUCUAGACUCCAGACCUUCCGUGUCCAGAAGUGUCAGUCUUCACAUCUGUGAGGUGGGGCCAAGGAGUCCUGCCCUGCCAUGCUGGGUGUUGACUUCGGGGAAGGGGCCUUGGGAUGUCUAUGAGGAUGCAGCUGCUGCCUUCUGUCUUGGCAGAGACCAUGGCCACCCCAGGACACCGUGUUUGGUCCCCGCUGUGCUAAGUCUCCUCCAGGCACCAGCCAGGCAUCAGUGGAGCACAGCGGAAAUGGGUCCAAAGCCACCCACAGAGGCUCUGUGUGGUUCUUGGAUAAUUCUGGAAGGCUCUAGAGAAGGCAACAAGAAGGCAGGAACCCAGGGCCAGAAACUGGACAACUUGUGUGUGUUUGUCUGUAAAGUGGGGCUAGGAAUCCGCGUGGGGGUCAAAUGAGAACAGCUCUGCCUCCCAGCGCACAGUCCCGCGUCGAGGUCAGAGAGCCUCUUAGGCCCUGGCUCUUUUGGGAAAUCAUCCCAGGGGCUAAAGACAAAACUGAAGUUGAAAUAAACAUGGGGGUCCAAACACUCCAGAAUUCUGAGUGAGGGAAUCUCCUCCCAGGCUUCCACGCCAGGCCCGAAUGCAAACAAGAGGCAGCAGGGGUGGCUUGGGCCCCUCACACAGAAUUAGUGAGAUUAGCUGAGAACCAGAGCCCAGCAGAUGUCCCCUCUCUGGACUCGGUGACUCACUUGCCUCCCUGGUUGAGAAUCGUAUCCGGCUGGGCCUGAGCUGUCCUGGCUGGCGGGGAGCUGGACGCAGGGCAGAGGUCGGGGUAAACACCCGUGCUCCAGGCGGGAGGUCGGGAUGGGGGUGGUGACAAGGAGGACAACAUUUCCACUCAGCAGAAAGAAGAGCCUGAGCUGCCCUAGAGCCGGAGGCGCUGCCUGGAGAGGUCGUGAGGACCCGGUCCCAGAGGUGUGCAAGCUGGGUACCCUUUGAAGACUAUAGGAGGAUUCCAGUUGGCGCUGGGAGUACUCCAGGCAGGAUGCCAGUUCAGGUCCUUCGUGCAUGAGACUCUCCCAGAGAGGCAGGCAAACAUUUUCUGGGAAGGGCCAGAUAGUAAAUAUUUCAGGUUUUGCGGGUCAUCCUGCUAUCUCUGUUGCAACUGCUCAACUCUGCCACUGUAGCUUGGAAGCAGCUACAGACAAUACAUAAAUGAAUGGAUGUGGG